UUGGAGAUCCUGGGGGUCUUCGGGAAUCCCGGACGAGCCCCCAAAUACUGUACCCC
rnacentral:miRNA from 1 species